rnacentral:lncRNA from 1 species
CUGGAUGAAGCGCCUUGAGAUUGUAGAAGAUUCUGCAAAAGGUUUGUGGUCUGCUUGUUUCACAAUUCACUACGUAUUUUUUAAGGAAACAUGAGGGGUAGCCUCCUACUGUUUAUUAUAUAGACUAAUAAUAGAAGACAAGUAUGUGUGCAAGCAAUAGGUAGCCAUUAUAAGAGGGAAAUAUUUUUUUCUUCGCUCUAUGGAUAACCAGAGAGAACUCUGAUUCAGAAUGUGAAUGGGCAAAAACCAGGUAUAUAGUAUCUGAGACAUGUAGCUUUUGCAUAUGCUUGUGUUUCAGCUUGCUUCAGUGUUCAUGUGAGAGGUUUAGAGUACAUUCAUCUGCUAGAAUCAUCAUUUUUGUGCCUCUGACUUUGACUAAUGAAUCUUUUGAAACAAUAAUUAAUUAAGUGUUAAAGGAGCUUAGAUAAAUUUAUAAUACAAAUUUAAGACUACACAGUCUAUAUGGCUCACAGAUGCCUGCACAGGUUUCAAAUACGCGUAUAUUAGUCUGUGAUUUGGGGCUAGAGUGAGUGUGUCUGCAAUGACUCCAUGCCUCGACUGGCAUCAAAAGGAUUGAGGUUAUUUAGGGGUAUGGUACCUGGGGACAUUGCAGUUCACUGCUUGGCUAGCUUGAUUAGGGUAGGACAUCUGGCAGCUUGAAACAACCAUGAAACUAUUUUCAGCUACAAUGUGACUCACUAUUUUUAAUUGAUUUUGAGCAUACAUAACACUUAUUUUUUAAUUUGGUUUGCCUUGUUGGUUUGUGGGUCGACUUAACUAAUAUAGUGGUAGAUAUCAUUUUCCAGGUAUUCAACAAAAAUUCAGGAUGAAACCUGGGCUCGGAAGAGUUCUUAAUAGCAUUACAAAGAAAAGAAACUGAUAUUUGUCGACCAACAAUAUCAGGUCCAUUGGGGUUCUUGUAUUGUUGAUUCAAUGGUAGGAACUAGGAAGUCUUCUUCACUUCAAUAGGUGGUGCUCUA